rnacentral:rRNA from 1 species
GCGGAGGAAAAGAAACUAACAAGGAUUCCCCUAGUAGCGGCGAGCGAAGCGGGAAGAGCUCAAAUUUAUAAUCUGGCACCUUCGGUGUCCGAGUUGUAAUCUCUAGAAAUGUUUUCCGCGUUGGACCGCACACAAGUCUGUUGGAAUACAGCGGCAUAGUGGUGAGACCCCCGUAUAUGGUGCGGACGCCCAGCGCUUUGUGAUACAUUUUCGAAGAGUCGAGUUGUUUGGGAAUGCAGCUCAAAUUGGGUGGUAAAUUCCAUCUAAAGCUAAAUAUUGGCGAGAGACCGAUAGCGAACAAGUACCGUGAGGGAAAGAUGAAAAGCACUUUGGAAAGAGAGUUAACAGUACGUGAAAUUGUUGGAAGGGAAACGCUUGAAGUCAGACUUGCUUGCCGAGCAAUCGGUUUGCAGGCCAGCAUCAGUUUUCCGGGAUGGAUAAUGGUAGAGAGAAGGUAGCAGUUUCGGCUGUGUUAUAGCUCUCUGCUGGAUACAUCUU